GGGGACUGCGGAAGGAUCAUUACCGAAUUGUCAAACGGGUUGUUGCUGGUCUUCAAACGGGGACAUGUGCACGCUCUGUUUACACAUCCACUCACACCUGUGCACCCUCCGUAGUUCUAUGGUCUGGGGGACCCUGUCUUCCUGCCGUGGUUCUACGUCUUUACACACACUCUGUAAUAAAGUCUUAUGGAAUGUAUGCCGCGUCUAACGCAAUACAAUACAACUUUCAGCAACGGAUCUCUUGGCUCUCGCAUCGAUGAAGAACGCAGCGAAAUGCGAUAAGUAAUGUGAAUUGCAGAAUUCAGUGAAUCAUCGAAUCUUUGAACGCACCUUGCGCCCCUUGGCUAUUCCGAGGGGCAUGCCUGUUUGAGUAUCAUGAACACCUCAACUCUCAUGGUUCGCCAUGAUGAGCUUGGACUCUGGGGGUUUUGCUGGCCUGYGGUCGGCUCCCCUCAAAUGAAUCAGCCUCCCAGUGUUUGGUGGCAUCACGGGUGUGAUAAAUAUCUACGCUCGCGGUYGUCUGCCAGGUAACCUUUGGUGACAAAGGUUYGCUGGAGCUCACAGAUGUCUCUCCUCGGCGAGGACAGCUUUUUUGAACGUUCGAUCUCA
rnacentral:rRNA from 1 species